GACGAACGCUGGCGGCGUGCCUAAUACAUGCAAGUAGAACGCUGAAGGAGGAGCUUGCUUCUCUGGAUGAGUUGCGAACGGGUGAGUAACGCGUAGGUAACCUGCCUGGUAGCGGGGGAUAACUAUUGGAAACGAUAGCUAAUACCGCAUAAGAGUAGAUGUCGCAUGACAUUUGCUUAAAAGGUGCAAUUGCAUCACUACCAGAUGGACCUGCGUUGUAUUAGCUAGUUGGUGAGGUAACGGCUCACCAAGGCAACGAUACAUAGCCGACCUGAGAGGGUGAUCGGCCACACUGGGACUGAGACACGGCCCAGACUCCUACGGGAGGCAGCAGUGGGGAAUCUUCGGCAAUGGACGGAAGUCUGAGCGAGCAACGCCGCGUGAGUGAAGAAGGGUUUCGGAUCGUAAAGCUCUGUUGUAAGAGAAGAACGAGUGUGAGAGUGGAAAGUUCACACUGUGACGGUAUCUUACCAGAAAGGGACGGCUAACUACGUG
rnacentral:rRNA from 1 species